AUUGAACGCUGGCGGAAUGCUUUACACAUGCAAGUCGAACGGCAGCACGGGGGCAACCCUGGUGGCGAGUGGCGGACGGGUGAGUAAUACAUCGGAACGUGCCCAGUCGUGGGGGAUAACGUAGCGAAAGUUACGCUAAUACCGCAUACGAUCUACGGAUGAAAGCGGGGGACCGUAAGGCCUCGCGCGAUUGGAGCGGCCGAUGUCAGAUUAGGUAGUUGGUGAGGUAAAGGCUCACCAAGCCGACGAUCUGUAGCUGGUCUGAGAGGACGACCAGCCACACUGGGACUGAGACACGGCCCAGACUCCUACGGGAGGCAGCAGUGGGGAAUUUUGGACAAUGGACGAAAGCCUGAUCCAGCCAUUCCGCGUGCAGGAUGAAGGCCCUCGGGUUGUAAACUGCUUUUGUACAGAACGAAAAGGUUUCUACUAAUACCUGGGGCUCAUGACGGUACCGUAAGAAUAAGCACCGGCUAACUACGUGCCAGCCGCCGCAGUAA
rnacentral:rRNA from 1 species